GGGAAUACUACAAAGCUAGGGAGUGGGAGAGGUAGACGGUACUCGGUAGGAAGGGGUAAAAUCCUUUGAUCUAUUGAUGACCACCUGUGGCGAAGGCGGUCUACCAGAACACGUCCGACGGUGAGGGAUGNNGCUGGGGGAGCAAACCGGAUUAGAUACCCGGGUAGUCCCAGCCGUAAACCAUGCAAACUCAGUGAUGCAUUGGCUUGUGGCCAAUGCAGUGCUGCAGGGAAGCCGUUAAGUUUGCCGCCUGGGAAGUACGUACGCAAGUAUGAAACUUAAAGGAAUUGGCGGGGGAGCACCACAAGGGGUGAAGCCUGCGGUUCAAUUGGAGUCAACGCCAGAAAUCUUACCCGGAGAGACAGCAGAAUGAAGGUCAAGCUGAAGACUUUACCAGACAAGCUGAGAGGUGGUGCAUGGCCGUCGCCAGCUCGUGCCGUGAGAUGUCCUGUUAAGUCAGGUAACGAGCGAGAUCCCUGCCUCUAGUUGCCACCAUUACUCUCAGGAGUAGUGGGGCGAAUUAGCGGGACCGCCACAGUUAAUGUGGAGGAAGGAAGGGGCCACGGCAGGUCAGUAUGCCCCGAAACUCUGGGGCCACACGCGGGCUGCAAUGGUAGUGACAAUGUGUUCCAAAUCCGAAAGGAGGAGGUAAUCCUCAAACACUACCACAGUUUUGAUUGAGGGCUGCGACUCGCCCUCACGAAUAUGGAAUCCCUAGUAACUGCGUGUCAUUAUCGCGCGGUGAAUACGUCCCUGCUCCUUGCACACACCGCCCGU
rnacentral:rRNA from 1 species